AUGGUUGUGGCUUGGCCGCCGGGCACACAAUCCAUUUAUUCACACAUAAGGUCAAAACCGAGUCGCGGUGUUCACAAUGCUGGGCAUUAUUUAUAUCGAAAGACGAGGAGGAAGAUUUGGAUGACCGUAACCACAAUGGCAAGGGCAGCAACAUGGUCAUCACCUACAAUGCCGUUGGGUGCUGACAUUAUGAUGUUUGGUUUAUUUGUUGAAAGUUACAGCCCAUGUUUCAUGAUUUAUUUGUCACCGGUUAAUCAUGAUAUUUUGAAGUGCUCUGACAAUUGCUUGCUGUCUGCAUCUCUUACUUUUCAACUUGCUGCAUAUAAAGAUAUACACCAUUAG
rnacentral:rRNA from 1 species